rnacentral:rRNA from 1 species
GACGAACGCUGGCGGCGUGCUUAACACAUGCAAGUCGAGCGGUAAGGCCCUUUCGGGGGUACACGAGCGGCGAACGGGUGAGUAACACGUGGGUGACCUGCCCUCAGCUCUGGGAUAAGCCUGGGAAACCGGGUCUAAUACUGGAUAUGACUCCAUGACGCAUGUUGUGGGGUGGAAAGCCUUGUGCGGCUGAGGAUGGGCCCGCGGCCUAUCAGCUUGUUGGUGGGGUGAUGGCCUACCAAGGCGACGACGGGUAGCCGGCCUGAGAGGGCGACCGGCCACACUGGGACUGAGACACGGCCCAGACUCCUACGGGAGGCAGCAGUGGGGAAUCUUGGACAAUGGGCGCAAGCCUGAUCCAGCCAUGCCGCGUGGGUGAAGAAGGCCU